AUAAUAACACUCUCGCCCUGAGAAUGUGACUCUGUACUUGAUUCCUGAUUUUAUUUAUUUAUCUUUUCAUCUUUAAGGCCAUACCCGUGGCAUGUGGAGGUUCCCAGACUAGGGGUUGAUUCGAGAUGUAGCCGCCAGCCUACACCACAGCCACAGGAAUGCAGGAUCCGAGCCGUGUCUGUGACCUACACCAUAGCUCAUGGCAACACCAGAUCCUUAACCCACUGAGCAAAGCCAGAGAUCGAACCCACAUCCUAAUGGAUCCUAGUUGGGUUCGUUAACCGCUAAGCCACGAUGGGAACUCUGAUUUCUGAUUUAAUUUUAUUUAACUUAUUUAUUUAUUUUUCGGUCUUCUUGUUUCUUUUUUAGGGCCACACCCACAGCACGUGGAGGUUCCCAGGCUAGGGGUCGAAUCGGAGCUGCAGCCACCGGCCUACACCACAGCCAUAGCAACUCGGGAUGUGAGCCGCGUCUUCGACCUACAUCACAGCUCAGGGCAACGCUGGAUCCUUAACCCACUGAGCGAGGCCAGGAAUCGAACCUGCAUCCUCAUGGAUGCUAGUCGGUUUCGCUAAUCACUGAGCCACGAAGCGAACUCUGAUUCCUGAUUUUAUUUAUUUAUUUAUUUAAUUUAUCUAUUUAAUUUAUUUUUAUUAAUUUAUUUUUGUCUUUUUGUCUUUUCUAGGGCCGCUUCCCGCAGCAUAUAGAGGUUCCCAGGCUAGGGGUCGAAUCGGAGCUGUAGCCGCCAGCCUACGCCACAGCUCACGGCAACGCUGGAUCCGUAACCCACUAAGCAAGGUCAGGGACUGAACCUGCAACCUCAUAGUUCCUAGUUGGAUUCGUUAACCACUGAGUCAUGACGGGAACUCCGAUUGCUGAUUUUAAAGAAAACUUUCCUGCUGCCUGAUAGUCACUGGAAACUUUGUUGUAAGUACUAACAGGCAACGCAGUCUUUGAGUUGUUUUAAAUUUUUAUCUUUGAACUGAGCCCGGUCAGCAUGAUAUUCCAUCACCCCUUGGCUUAGCCCCAGGAAGCUGCUGUGGAGCUGCGGAGGCCAUCACUUAACUUGUCAUCACACAGGAGGGACUUCUCGGGGUCUCAGGACCAGAAGUCCCAGUCUUUGGGGGCAAAUGGUCUGAUUUUCAUCUUCUAGGCAGUGUAACUGGCUCCUGCUCCCUGAUCGCGGGCAGGGGCCUGGGACUCGUGGUCUGCGCGUCGUCCACUAACCUCAGCCUUGGUUACAGAGACUUCCUAGCUCUCCGUCCCAAAUGCCUCUCCCUGUGUGUCUGCAAACUACCUCCGGCUAUUCUGGAAUGAGACUUCUCCCGCAUCUUCUCUCUCCUCCCCUCCCGGCGUGCUGUCCUUACUCCAAGCCCCAGAAUGUUCUUUAGUCUGGAAAGAAGGCUAACAUGGGAGAUGACCCAAGUUUGUAAUUUCCAGUCAAAGGGCCGCGCGCUCCUGAGGUACUUUCUCAAGUUUCCUGGGAGUAAGUUCAGGUCACAGAGAAACGGGUUUCACGGCCUAGGAAGCUGAUGAAACGGGGGGCCGGGCUGAAGUGCGCAGCUGCUCUCCCGCAGGGUCCCUGGUGAGUUUCCGAGGGCCUGCACAUCCCGCACCGGCACAGGGGACCACGGGCACAGCCAAAGUCUCCCUCAGUGGAGCGCCCGCCACAAGCAGGCCAGCAAUUCAAGAGAGCUGGGAAUCCAGCCACGACGGAGGGCUGCUGGCUCGUCCCACACUGCUUCCCCCGUGACACCUCCCCUCCGCCCCGUGACACCUCCAGCUCAUUACUUCUGCCACUUAACGCUCACUAACGACAAGCUCUCACUUGCAAUCAGACCGCAGGCAUGAGGGCCAAAGACAGCCUCCAGCUGUGCCACGCCUGGCCCGUGCCGUCUAGACACCAGCGCGGGCCUGUCAGCAUCCAAAUGACAGCAUGUGCCCCAGCCCCCGAGUGUCAAAGCCGGCUCCCGCCUGCCGCACAUGCUGAGUGAAGGCCGAUUUUAUGUUAAUGUGACUCCAACAUAAAACGCCAGAAACUUCCCCCAGCACCUCGCUGCCUUCAUCACACAGGUGAGGUCAGGACUCCCGGCUCCCCAGGAAUCCUGGAAGGAACCCUCGAGUCACCUCAUGACUGGGGCCCCUCGGGGGACCGGGGGUCACUCCCAAGCUCCCAUCUUCCCAAGCCUCCCCUCCCCCACUGCCCGGCCCCUCCUAUAGGCCAGCUCCUUCAGGCAAGGCCUGGCACAGCCCAGGGCACCCACCUUCUGCCCCUGGGGAGACCCUCACGGCUUAUCAGUGCCCCUCAAAUCAGCCAUGAUUUAUGAGAACUCAUCACGUGGGCCCGGUUCUGGUGGACCCUCCAGGGACCCCUGCUGCCUCCCCAUCAGCCUCCCCAUUUGACCUGGCCUCCACCUUCAGUGCCCCCCGAGGUUUAGCGCUGCCCAGGAAGAAGGGAUUUAGUGCCCUGCUGCCACCUUGUCUCUAAGAGUCUGCAUUUCAAAACCAAGCCAAGGAACACGUGAGCUUAAUCCACACAGGGCGGUGGUCAGGUUGUGGGGUGGUGGGCAGCACCUCUGUCUGGGGGCCCUGACCGACGACGGCACAACUCAAGUGUCUCUGUGGCGACCAGCACCAGUGAUGGGGCUCUCUGCCGUCCAGUGCUGUGCCACCUCUGGCCUGGCAGUGCCCCCCGGCAGGCAGCGCCCUGUACCGAAGCGCCCUGGGCACCACCUGCCCGGAGGAGUGCCAGGCAGAGAGGGGGCGGGGCUGCCCUCGCCUUCAGAGCAGCCCUGGCAGGGAGCCAGUUCCCUUCUCCUUCUGCGGAGGGGAGAGAAGCUGGCACACACUCUCAGGCCCCAGGGCACCAGCCUGCCCCUCCUCCUGGUUCUCCGAAAGCCCACUUCGAACUGCCCCUAGGAAGGGCCUUCCUGGUGUUUCCCUGAGGCCUGAAUCACGCCAGGGCACUUUCUGCUGGACUGCCAGCCCUGCCAGCAGGGCCUGAGUCCCUCAUACCUCCAGGUGACAGCUCCCGAUCUGUUGCCAGAUGACUCCCCCCAGUGAGGCGACCAGAGUGACGGGGGCGGGGGGCUGGACAGGCCGAGCUCAGCCCAGAUGGCAUGUCUCGGACCCAGCUCCACCCUCACGCAGAUGAAUGGGGCUCUGGGCCAGGUGGCCGUUCCACACGGUGCCUCAGCGCUUCCUUCUGCACCAGGGGCCCCGACGGGGGACUAGCCAGGCUGUCUCCUCUCACGCUGCCUGCCGGGAGUUGGCGCGCUCACUACGGGCCUGAGAGCCAGCACCUCUGAGCCGGAGGCCUGCCUGGUGGCAGGGCAAGGCCAGCUCCACCAGAGGCCCUGCCACAGGACGCCACCCCUCCUGCCUGGAACGAACCCCUGUCCGGGUCCCAGAAAGCUUUCGGAUGUUCGCCAUAGCAGGUUUGGGGGUAGGUUUCCAGAGCCCAAGUUGUGCCAGGAUCAGCGGUUUCCUCCCAGCUGUGUGCUGGGGUGUGUGUGUGUGUGUGUGUGUGUGUGCGCUCGCGCACAGGUGAGGGGCGAGAAGGCGUGUGUCUGGGUGUCCGUGGGGAGGACAUGGAACAAGCCAGAGGAGGCUCACUUGUCCCUGGCUCCGACUGGCUUCAAGAGGCAGGACCCAGGGACAGUGGAAAGUAAGGGGACCCUGAGCAAGAGGGGGGGCCAGUGUGGAGGUGGCUGCCAGCAGGGCCUGGGCAGAGGUUCCAAUUGGGGUAGGGGAUGAGAAGAGGCCCUGCCACAGGUCCAGCUCGGGGCAGAAGGGCCAAGAGGGGGCCCAGGGGUAGGACCAGAGGCUGAGAGCCAGUGACUCUCAGUGGAACCCCGAGGCUCCUGCUCCAGGGCUGGCGGGGGUGGGGUGGGGGGAGGGCAGCAGCGCCUACCUGUACCACGGCGGGUGGGUGCUGAAGGCCUGGAGUCAUAGGUGGCAGGGUCCUGCAGCGGGGGAGUCAUCCAGUGCCCCCUCGGUGCCCGGGCCCAGAGCCUACCGUGCCUGCAGCACCAAGGGCCAUUCUGGGGGGGAUCUGAAAGGAGAGGGCAGUGGGAGGGACUGGCCAGACCCCGAGCCCCAGAGCCAGACUCACAAGGGCCUGCUGUGUGGACCAGCUCCAUGACAAGGUCUGAGGAAGGCAGGAGGCACGUAGGAAGGGAGCAGGGGGCGGGCUGGGCCAGCCUGGCUGGGUGGCACAAGGAAGGGCAGCGUGACUGCAGGAAGCAGUCAGAGACCAAGGCCUACAGGUCAGGCCUGGAAGGAUGCGAGUCAAGGAGCUGGCAGAGCCCAGGCCCUGGCAGAGGCAGCACCUUUGGGGGGUCCUGUCAAGAGUGGAGGAGAGAGCCGGGCACUGGGGUGGGGAGGGCAUGACCGGCAGCCAGGAUGGGACCUGGAUGACUUCUGGAGCUCAAGGAUGUCCCAAGGGACAGCUAGGGGUGGGUGGCAGUAGAGCCAACCCGCUCUGUAGUCUGCCCAGCUGACAGUGGGCCCUCCCUGUGUGCCCAGCCUUCGUGGUCACCCCCUGCCAGGGCAGGAAGGCGGUGGGCUAGGGUCAGAACCCAACUUGUGAGCAGACAGCAGGUUGGGGGACGAGGAGGGGGCAGUGUGGUAGCUUGGGAGCAGUGUGGGGGCUUGGGAGCAGUUCAGGG
rnacentral:lncRNA from 1 species